GACGAACGCUGGCGGCGUGCUUAACACAUGCAAGUCGAACGGAAAGGCCCUGCUUGCAGGGUACUCGAGUGGCGAACGGGUGAGUAACACGUGGUGAUCUGCCCUGCACUUCGGGAUAAGCCUGGGAAACUGGGUCUAAUACCGGAUAGGAGCCAUUUUUAGUGUGAUGGUUGGAAAGUUUUUUCGGUGUAGGAUGAGCUCGCGGCCUAUCAGCUUGUUGGUGGGGUAAUGGCCUACCAAGGCGGCGACGGGUAGCCGGCCUGAGAGGGUGGACGGCCACAUUGGGACUGAGAUACGGCCCAGACUCCUACGGGAGGCAGCAGUGGGGAAUAUUGCACAAUGGGCGCAAGCCUGAUGCAGCGACGCCGCGUGGGGGAUGACGGCCUUCGGGUUGUAAACUCCUUUCGCUAGGGACGAAGCUUUUUGUGACGGUACCUAGAUAAGAAGCACCGGCUAACUACGUG
rnacentral:rRNA from 1 species